rnacentral:misc_RNA from 1 species
CACACCCCAUCAAUAUGGCGACAGGAUCAGACGACUCUAAGUUAUGGAAAUGUGCUGUGAUUUCAUGUGACAAAGGUCCCAUCAAAUCGACAGACGGCAGGGUGGAUACUAGGGCGUAUGCUUUGCCGAAAAAUGAACGCUCAGAUUUCCAAGUAAACUGGGACGAUAAAGGAUUUGCAACAUUCCAUGAUGUUUGUUGGUAUACGUUAAUCAAAAGAUUAUCAAAAGACAAGGCCUCGGGAAUCACCAAAGCUGAAGAAGAUAUGAUUAAGGAAGCAUUAAAAACGGCAGAAAUUCACGACUCGUACGAAAAACUGAAAAAGGAAGCGGAACAUGUAGCUAAGCUGAUCAAAAAGUCAGAGUACUGUAUAGCAUUUACAGGAGCGGGUAUUUCAACAGCUGCAGGGAUCGGUGAUUUCAGAGGAAUAACUGGAAAAUGGACAGAGCGAGACAAAGCUAAAAAACAAGGGUUUGAAAAGUGGAUCAUGGAUACAGUUCACAUAAAAGAAAACCCAAUUUGCUGUCACAUUUGUUGUCAGUUUGAAGUAUGUGUUGAUCAUGUUUUAAGGAACCAAGGGGACCAAGGUACCACCACGUAAUCUGCAGGCUCUACGCCCAACUUACACACAUGAAGCCAUCGUUAAACUACUGGAAAAGGGGUAUAUGAAGCACGUUAUUAGUCAAAACUUGGACGGCCUCCAUCGAUUGUCGGGGGUCAAGGAAGGUCAAAUUUCGGAACUUCACGGAAACGGGUUCGUGGAGAAAUGCGAGAAGUGUAAGAAACGUUAUGUGAGGAAUUUCAGAUGUGGCGGGAAAGCGACCAAUGUCCCUGUAAAUAAGUGCACGAAAUGCCGGUUAAAUCAUCGAACGGGACGGGUGUGCGAUGAUAAGAAGUGUAAUGGAUAUCUGAUGAACACCAUCAUCAAUUUUGGGGACUAUUUAGAGAGUGAUGUGUUAGACGGUGCGGAGAAACACGCGGAACAAUCGGACCUCGUUUUGGCUCUAGGAACUACUUUGCAAGUCUCACCAGCAAACAACUUAGUAGAAAGUGGACAGGAUCCUACGCGUUUAGUUAUUUGCAACAGACAAGUCACAGAUUACGACCAGACAUGUUUAGAGCUAGAUGACAACGGAGUUCCUUUGGGGUCACGUGUUUUUGGAGAUUGUGAUAAAAUGAUGCGCGAACUGAUGCGCUGUGUUCUUCCGGGAGAUGAGUUGAAAAAAUGGGAGCAGGACAGGGAAGUCCGAAUGCUGGCUUACGACACACAGAGGAAAUUGUAACAGAUUUACGAACUAUAUCAUAGUUAAACAUUAAUGGGAGAAUAUAGGAACAUUUAAAAACUCUCAGUACAUUCAUGAGACAUGUUAUAACCUUUUUUUAACUAAUCUGAAUUAAUUCUAAAGGCAAUACAUAUACAGUCAAAUUCU